rnacentral:tRNA from 1 species
GGAAAGGUGGCAGAGCGGCUGAAUGCGCCGGACUCGAAAUCCGGUAUACGGUUUUCCCGUAUCGGGGGUUCGAACCCCCCCCUUUCCGCCA